GACGAACGCUGGCGGCGUGCCUAAUACAUGCAAGUUGAGCGAUGAAGAUUGGUGCUUGCACCAAUUUGAAGAGCAGCGAACGGGUGAGUAACGCGUGGGGAAUCUGCCUUUGAGCGGGGGACAACAUUUGGAAACGAAUGCUAAUACCGCAUAACAACUUUAAACAUAAGUUUUAAGUUUGAAAGAUGCAAUUGCAUCACUCAAAGAUGAUCCCGCGUUGUAUUAGCUAGUUGGUGAGGUCAAGGCUCACCAAGGCGAUGAUACAUAGCCGACCUGAGAGGGUGAGCGGCCACAUUGGGACUGAGACACGGCCCAAACUCCUACGGGAGGCAGCAGUAGGGCAUCUUCGGCAAUUGACGAAAGUCUGACCGAGCGACGCCGCGUGAGGGAAGAAGGUUGUCGGAUCGUAAAACUCUGUUGGUAGAGAAGAACGUUGGUGAGAGUGGAAAGCUCAUCAAGUGACGGUAACUACCCAGAAAGGGACGGCUAACUACGUG
rnacentral:rRNA from 1 species